GAUGAACGCUGGCGGCGUGCCUAAUACAUGCAAGUCGAGCGAACGGACGAGGAGCUUGCUCCUCUGAUGUUAGCGGCGGACGGGUGAGUAACACGUGGAUAACCUACUUAUAAGACUGGGAUAACUUCGGGAAACCGGAGCUAAUACCGGAUAAUAUAUUGAACCGCAUGGUUCAAUAGUGAAAGACGGUUUUGCUGUCACUUAUAGAUGGAUCCGCGCCGCAUUAGCUAGUUGGUAAGGUAACGGCUUACCAAGGCAACGAUGCGUAGCCGACCUGAGAGGGUGAUCGGCCACACUGGAACUGAGACACGGUCCAGACUCCUACGGGAGGCAGCAGUAGGGAAUCUUCCGCAAUGGGCGAAAGCCUGACGGAGCAACGCCGCGUGAGUGAUGAAGGUCUUCGGAUCGUAAAACUCUGUUAUUAGGGAAGAACAAAUGUGUAAGUAACUAUGCACAUCUUGACGGUACCUAAUCAGAAAGCCACGGCUAACUACGUG
rnacentral:rRNA from 1 species